rnacentral:rRNA from 1 species
UACGUAGGGGGCAAGCGUUGUCCGGAAUCAUUGGGCGUAAAGCGCGUGUAGGCGGCCCGAUAAGUCCGCUGUGAAAGUCCAGGGCUCAACCCUGGGAUGCCGGUGGAUACUGUCGGGCUCGAGUCCGGAAGAGGAGUGUGGAAUUCCUGGUGUAGCGGUGAAAUGCGCAGAUAUCAGGAGGAACACCAAUGGCGAAGGCAGCACUCUGGGACGUGACUGACACUGAGGAGCGAAAGCCAGGGGAGCAAACGGG